GGAUUAGAUACCCUGGUAGUCCACGCCGUAAACGAUGAUUACUAGGUGUUGGGGGUCGAACCUCAGCGCCCAAGCUAACGCGAUAAGUAAUCCGCCUGGGGAGUACGUACGCAAGUAUGAAACUCAAAGGAAUUGACGGGGACCCGCACAAGCGGUGGAGCAUGUGGUUUAAUUCGACGCAACGCGAGGAACCUUACCAGCGUUUGACAUCUUAGGAAUGAGACAGAGAUGUUUCAGUGUCCCUUCGGGGAAACCUAAAGACAGGUGGUGCAUGGCUGUCGUCAGCUCGUGCCG
rnacentral:rRNA from 1 species